GACGACCGCUGUCGGCGUGCUUAACACAUGCAAGUCGAACGAAGUGGCGAACGGGUGAGUAAUACGUGGGUAACCUGCCCUCCUUUUUGGGAUAAGCCUUGGAAACGGGGUCUAAUACCGAAUAAAGGGGGAUGGGCUCGGGGCCUAUCAGCUUGUUGGUGGGGUGAUGGCUCACCUAGGUGAUGGUCAGUAGCCGGACUGAGAGGUUGAUCGGCCGCAUUGGGACUGAGACACGGCCCAGAGUCCUACGGGAGGCAGCAGUGGGGAAUAUUGGGCAAUGGGCGCAAGCCUGACCCAGCGAUGCCGCGUGAAGGAAGACGGUCUUCGGAUUGUAAACUUCUUUAGACAGGGACGCGGUACCUGUAGAAUAAGCCACGGCUAACUACGUGCCAGCCGCCGCGGUAAUAC
rnacentral:rRNA from 1 species